rnacentral:rRNA from 1 species
AGCUCCAAUAUCGUAUAUUCAAGUUGUUGCGGUCAAAAAAGCUCGUAGUUGGAUGUCUGCCGAGGAAGACCGGUCCGCCCACUGGGUGAUAUCUGGCUCGGCCUGGCAUCUUCUUGGAGAACGUAACUGCGCUUGACUGUUUGGUGUGGUAUCCAGGACUUUUACUUCGAGGGAAUUAGAAUGUUUCAAGCAGGCACGCGCCUUGAAUACAGUAGCAUGGAAUAAUAAGAUAGGACCUCGGUUCUCUUUUUGGGGUUUCUAGAGCUGAGGUAAUGAUUAAUAGGGAUAGUUGGGGGGCAUUCGUAUUUACCUGUCAGAGGUGAAGUUCUUGGAUUUGUUAAAGACGGACUACUGCGCAAGAAUUUGCGAAGAAGGUUUUCA